rnacentral:rRNA from 1 species
GCUCCUCUGACGUUAGCGGCGGACGGGUGAGUAACACGUGGAUAACCUACCUAUAAGACUGGGAUAACUUCGGGAAACCGGAGCUAAUACCGGAUAAUAUAUUGAACCGCAUGGUUCAAUAGUGAAAGACGGUUUUGCUGUCACUUAUAGAUGGAUCCGCGCCGCAUUAGCUAGUUGGUAAGGUAACGGCUUACCAAGGCAACGAUGCGUAGCCGACCUGAGAGGGUGAUCGGCCACACUGGAACUGAGACACGGUCCAGACUCCUACGGGAGGCAGCAGUAGGGAAUCUUCCGCAAUGGGCGAAAGCCUGACGGAGCAACGCCGCGUGAGUGAUGAAGGUCUUCGGAUCGUAAAACUCUGUUAUUAGGGAAGAACAAAUGUGUAAGUAACUAUGCACGUCUUGACGGUACCUAAUCAGAAAGCCACGGCUAACUACGUGCCAGCAGCCGCGGUAAUACGUAGGUGGCAAGCGUUAUCCGGAAUUAUUGGGCGUAAAGCGCGCGUAGGCGGUUUUUUAAGUCUGAUG